UGGGUGUGCUCAGAGCAGGUGGCUAAAGAAUGGCUUCUCUGCUUAUAACACACCCAACACAUGUACUCCAUACACUU
rnacentral:snoRNA from 1 species